CUGGGAGGUAAUUGAAUCAUGGGAGUGGUUAACCUCAUGCUGUUCUCAUGAUAGUGAGUGAGUUCUCACGAGAUCUAAUGGUUUCUUAAGGGGCUUUUCCCCCUUUUGCUCAGCACUUGUCCUUCCUUCUGCUAUGUAAGAUGUGCCUGUGCUCCUCCCUUGCCUUCUGCCUUGAUUGUGAGGCCUCGCCAGCCAUGUGGAACUGUGAGUUCACGAAACCUUUUUUUCUUUAUAAAUUACCCAGUCUUGGGUAUUUCUUCAUAGCAGUAUGAAAAUGGACUAAUACAGGGGCCAAACGUGACUGUGACAAACACCUCCAGUUUUAACCUGUUUCCUAGAGAAGGGGAGACGGGGUUUUACCAUGUUGCUCAGCCUAGUAUUGAAAUCCUGGACUCAAGCAAUCUGACCACCUACGCCUCCCAAACUGCUGGGAUUACAGGUAGUCCAGGCGGGUCAGGAAGCAGGAGUGGAGGAUGUCUUCUUGACCUAUGAGAUAAGAAAAACAAACCCAUCUGACGCAGGAAUGGCAUUUGUUCCAAUGCCUAAUUUUAGAAGCAGAGUGUAAGGAGAUGAGUUGAAGCAUACAUGAGUAAUACCAAUAAAAAGUUGAGAUGGAAUGUUCUUGUUCUCAACUUGAAUGCUGGGCUGUGGAACCAAAG
rnacentral:lncRNA from 1 species